AUUGAACGCUGGCGGCAGGCUUAACACAUGCAAGUCGAGCGAGCGGCGGACGGGUGAGUAAUGUCUGGGAAACUGCCUGAUGGAGGGGGAUAACUACUGGAAACGGUAGCUAAUACCGCAUACCAUCAGAUGUGCCCAGAUGGGAUUAGCUAGUAGGUGGGGUAAUGGCUCACCUAGGCGACGAUCCCUAGCUGGUCUGAGAGGAUGACCAGCCAAACUGGAACUGAGACACGGUCCAGACCCCAACGGGAGGCAGCAGUGGGGAAUAUGGCACAAUGGGCGCAAGCCUGAUGCGACCAUGCCGCGUGUGUGAAGAGGGCCGUCGGGUUGUAAAGCACUUUCAGCUAGGAGGCGUUACUCGCAGAAGAAGCACCGGCUAACUCCGUGCCAGCAGCCGCGGUAAUUC
rnacentral:rRNA from 1 species